rnacentral:rRNA from 1 species
UGAUGACNNAUGCUGGCGGUGUGCUUAACACAUGCAAGUCGAACGGGGAUAUAUUGGAGAGAUCCUUCGGGAUAAGGAAGAUAUAUUCUAGUGGCGAACUGGUGAGUAACGCGUGAGCAACAUGCCCUUUACAGGGGGAUAACACAGGGAAACUUGUGCUAAUACCGCAUAAGACCACGGCCUCGAGUGAGGCAGAGGUAAAAGAUUACAUCGGUAAAGGAUUGGCUCGCGUCCCAUUAGCUAGUUGGUGAGGUAACGGCCCACCAAGGCGACGAUGGGUAGCCGGACUGAGAGGUCGAACGGCCACACUGGGACUGAGACACAGCCCAGACUCCUGCGGGAGGCAGCAGUGGGGAAUAUUGCACAAUGGACGAAAGUUCGAUGCAGCAACGCCGCGUGAAGGAAGAAGGUUUUCGGAUUGUAAACUUUUGUCCUUGGGGAAGAAGAAAGUGACGGUACCCAAGGAGGAAGCCCCGGCUAACUACGUGCCAGCAGCCGCGGUAAUACGUAGGGGGCGAGCGUUGUCCGGAAUUACUGGGCGUAAAGGGCGCGUAGGCGGCCUGUAAAGUCAUGCGUGAAAAGCCUGUUUUCAAGGCAGGAGGUGCGCGUGAAACUUACGGGAUUGAUUGUGGAAAAGGAAUUGAAAUUCCAUUGUANCGGUGAAAUGCACAGAGAUUUGGAGGAACACCAGUGGCGAAGGCGGCUUUCUGGACCAUAACUGACCUGAGGCNCGAAACNUGGGGANCAAACAGGAUUAAAUACCCUGGUAGUCCACGCCGUAAACGAUGGAUACUANGUGUAGGGGGUAUCAANUCCCCUGUGCCNCANUUAACNNAUANUAUCCCCCUGGGGAGUAC